UCCCAGGCAGGCCCCCAAAUUUGUUAGAAAUAAACUUUUGGUGCUGUAAAAGAAAUAGCACUCAAAUAUAAAUUUUUUCAGCAAGGCAAUUUUCUUCUAUAGCAGGCUAUGUAUCAUGGAUGGAACAAUGGUAAGAGCAUACCUGAACAAGGGAGAGGAAGGGGUUCUUAUCCCUGACGCAGGUAGCCCCUACUGCUGUGUCAUUCCUCUAUAGGUAGGGUUGGACUGCACAGUCUAAGCUAAUUCUGACUGGCUAUUUUAAAGAGAGCGGGGGUAUGAGCCAGAGUGGUGGGGUAAACAGUUUUGGUGCGAAAGACUGUUAUGGAACAGGUGACUAAAGGUGACUCAGGAUGGAGCUGGUGACCAGAGGAACACAUGUGAACUACUGAUCAGAGCUGGUAGGGAGGUUGUUUACUAAAACUAGGGGCAAAGAGGUGAGGAAGUUAAACUUUAAAAUGGAGAACAAAGAACAUGAAAACUGAACAUACUGGCAUACUGAUUCUUUGAAGAGCAACUUGGAACUCACUGUAUUUAACACCGUUGAAUGGGUAAGUGGAAUGGCAUUGCAUGUAUCCAGGCUUUUGGGCUGCUGUUCUAAGCAGGGAGCCUGGCAAACAUGUGAUGCUCUCCUUCAAUGCUGUUUGCAGCUCCAGCACUCUUUGGAGUCUGGGAAAAUUUGACCUUUAAAAAGCAAAUUGCCAUAGAGAUUGCCUUACCCAAAAUUUUGGUUCCCAGCCUUCAUUGGAUUAUCUACUGGGACAAAAUAAAGUAAAACUGGCAAGCUUGUACUACUAUCUCAUGGCUAAGGUAUCCAUGGCUGUUGGAUCUUUGUUUGUGUGUGUAUACAUUUCUAUAUGUGUUUAUUUGUAUGUGCACUUAUUGUUAUAUAUUGUGUCUACUACAUUGGCUUAUAAGUAAAAGAGUGCUCAUAAAUUAAGUAAAUAAGCCUAAGCAAUUUUCAAGUUCACAUGACUUAAGUAUAACUUUACUAAACAAGUUAGCUUUAAAAUUAUUGGAAUAAAAAUAAAAAUGCCUUCAGAAUUGUCAGCAUACAUUUUGUCUAAAUUUUAUGUUUGCUAGAUAUUUUGAGAUGUCAGCGUUUGGCAUGGAAGUGUAACUGGGGCAGCGUAUUCAACUCCCCAUUCUGAAGAGGUUCUUAGCCUUGCUAACCCCAAAGAAUGGGGAAAGGGGCCCUGGAGGUGUGGUGAGUUUGCCUUUUGAAUAAAUAUCGUGGACCCAAAGAGUUUUGCGGAAAAGUGAUUUAUUAGACAGAGAGAGAGAGAGAGAAAAAAAAAAAGAAGAAAGACAGCUUUCACACUGUCAUGGGAGGGGACUCAGAGAAGGAAUCCCUAUAGGUAGGGAGCAGCUGGAGUUUUAACCCUUGAGUUAUUCCCUCCUUAUUCAUGUUCUUGUCCAAUGAGAGGAGUUCUUUCAAACUUCCUCUGGAGUGAUUGAUCUUUGACUCUGACACCAGGUUGGCUGCUUGGUCCACAACUGUGAGUAAGAGAGUCCCCUCCUCCCAGAGCUUCUGGCAGGUUUUUUGGGACAAAGGAGCUUCAUCUGGCUCUCUCUACCUAGCCUACUACAAGUGGGAAACCCAGACAAAGAACUUUACAUUUAAAACCCCUUUGGUUCCGGGAUGGAGACGUGGAGCUGGGAAACUCUUGCCUUUGAAACCAUGCCCGUCACAGACCCGAGAAGAGAAAUCCCUCUUCUCUUUUCUAACUAUAAAACUAUGGUUUGCAUGCUUCCUUUUGACAAAUGCGAGUAAUUUAUAAGGAAAAUAUCUUGUGCCCCCCAAAAUAUCUAGGCUGAAGGAAAAAUCAGGAGUACAAGCUGCUUGAGGUGACGCUGCCUCCCAUUCUAUUCAGUCUCACGGAGAUAAAUGUAUAUCUAAUUGCCUUUUUUGGUAAGGCUAAUCAGAAACUCAAAAGAAUGCAACCAUUCAUCUUGCACCUAUAUUGUGACCUGGAAGCCCAAGCCCCUGCUUUUCCAGACAGAACCAAUGUUCAUUUUACAUAUGUUAAUUGAUGUCUCAUGCCCCCCUUGUUAAAAGUGAAAGAACUGAGUACCGAAUGAGAUAAACUUUUUUUUCUUUUGAGACAGAGUUUUGCUCUGUCACCCAGGCUGGAGUGGAAUGGUGCGAUCUUGGCUCACUGCAACCUCUACCUCCCAGGUUCAAGCGAUUCUCCUGCCGCAAUCUCCUGAGUAGCUGGGAUUACAGGUUUUAAAUGCUUGCCUAAAGCCAUCUCUAGAGUGUCAUAUGGUCUCUCUUCAACUGGAACGACAAGAGCUGAAAGAAAUAUACAACCAUGAGGUCAUCACAACCCAUGAAUGACGUGCUGAGAUCGGAGACCCAAAAUGAUGAGACCAUCAGGCUUUAGAUGAUCAUGCAGCAAAGGUUCCAGCCAGUUCCAGGUGAAGACACCACCCCUCACCCUCAAGAAGCUACACUGUCUUCACUAGACAGAGCAGGGAGAGAGUUUCGUCAUCCUCAAUAGGUAGGGACUAUGCCCCAAACCAGCAUGAAGCAGUUACAGAAAAAAAGAUGAUUGGUCCUUAUACCUCCCAUGAAGAUUUAUGGAGAUCACAUCUCUUACAGGGGAAAUGAGGCAGGAAAAUCGGGUCUGGAGGCAAGGAACAUAAGGCGGAUUCACACUUCAACUUGACAGGAAAUAUCAUCUCCAUAGGGCAGAUGUGAAGUAAAUGACUAUGUAACUUUACUUCACUCUCAUCAUUUACCUAGUUGGGCAUAAACUAACUAACCAAUGGAAUCCUCUAGAAGAUUUUUAAACUCCCAAAAAUUCUGUAACAGGGCCCUGCUCCCACACUGUGGAGUAUACUUUCAUUUUCAAUAAAUUUCUUCAUUCUUUCUUCA